AUCACUCAUGCCAAUCCCACGUUGCUUUGUUCUGGUCUCACCGAUCAGCACUUUCCCACCUUGAUGGGAGCCAUUCACGUGUGUGAGAUCUCCUCAUGGACGCCUCCCCCAACUCACAACGUCUUCUGUCACACUGUCCCCCACUGACCUGCCCCCCUGUUGUCUCUAGGAAGUCACCGCCCACCCUGAAGGGUGUCCUGGCUGGUUGGAGGAGCAAAGCUCUUCUGUGGAUGCCCACCGCAAGGAGACCCGACAGUCACUGAAUCUAUUUGAACAUCAAAGGAAGAUUAUGUUUAUAAAAGAGAAAGGCCCUGAAGAUGGUUUUUCUUGGCUCUGGGACUAAAUGGAGCGAACACCUGGUCCAGAUUUGCUUUCAUCCUUCUUCUCUAAGCAACUCAUUCCUGGUGGAAAAUAUGCUGACACCACGUAGGCCCACACCAAAGAGAAGGAAAUGCUUGCAUUUAUUCUGUCUCUUUGAUUUCAUUUGUGCCUCCUGAAGGUGAGGUCAGCCCAGACAAGCCUCAUCCGGUACUUCACGGCAUGGAAAACGGUUUGGCCCGGCUGAUUGCAUGAUGAUCACAGCACAAUAGGACCCUGGCCGCAGCCCGUGAAGCAGGGUGCUGUGUUUCUGAAGACUGUUUGCGUUGCAAAAGAGCAACUCAGAGCUGCACCGAGAUUCAACCUCCAAAAUAUGGGGGUGACCAGCCCUGUGUACACCUGCUCUUCAAGGUGGAGUUAUGCUUCUCAUCUGCAACUGACCGACUUUCAUUCUGCCUCAGUCUCGCCCGUUUCAACGUUGAGUGAGCUGCUGCAUCCUGAUCCUCUCUGCUGUUUUCAUCCUGCAUUCAUCCAGUGGCGUGCCGGAGUCAGCCUGACUGGCUCAAGAAAGCGAUUGUGCAUAGCUCUUCCCAAUGUCAUGUUCGCUCACAUAACGUUGGUAGCCUGAAAUCAGUCAUGGUAAGGGUAACUACACCACAGACAUCAGCAAAUCCUACAAGUAGGGCUCCAUCUACCCCCAGAGAGCCAGUUGCUAAACAUUUACCACCACGCAACUGAGUUUACCCCCUUUCAAAAGUUAAGUCAAAUAAGGUGGUAGAGUGCGUGCUUAGCAUGCACGAGGUCCUGGGUUCAAUCCCCAGUACCUCCAUUACAAAAUAAAUAUAUAACAUGUAUAUUUAUAUAUAUGUACCUAAUUCCCCCCCACAAAACAAACCCCCCUAAAAGAGGAUCAGUUUUAUUUUGAUAAAUGUUUAGCUCUAUCUGCAGCCUUAGGGAAAAAAGAAUAUCAGUCCUGGGCAAAAUUGUUAUACGUGCCCUAUGUCCCUCAACACACGUUUUCUUCAGAACAGGUUCCUCCAGAUUGGCCCCCCUCCCCUCCUGCCUGACUCUGAUCCACCUCCAAGCCAGCCUCAGCGAGGCUGGACCACCUGGAGCUUUCCUGACCGUUCUCCCCAUCAAACUGUGCCCAACGAGUGUUCCAUUUACCUAUGCCAGCCUGAUAAACACAUUCUAACUGGGUACUGCUCCCUAUUUUAUUUCUCUUAGAUGAAUGUAUUUUUAACACAAGGCUUUCAAUGUCUUAGCUCCAAGAAUUAGGGGAAUUUCAGUCCCUUUGGCAAGGCUAGCAAAUGCUGUACUUUCCACUCAAUUUUGCUGUGCAUCGAAAACUGCUCUAAGAAAAAAAAAUCUGUUUUUUAAAAAAAAAAUGGGAUUAUGGUUACGGAGGAAAUUGUCUCUGUAGUUUAAAGACAUAUUUAGGGAUGAAAUGCUAUAAUGGCUGUAAUUUUCUUUAAAAAUACUUCAGAAGAAAAAUGGAGCAAAUGUGGGAAAAAUGUUAACAGUUAAAUCUGAAGGAUGGCUACAGGGAGGUUCGUGCUACUAUUGUCUGUUCCCGCCUGUCUGUCUGAAGUUUUCCACAAUACUAAUUUUGAGAGAACUGGCUGUGGAAGACUGACGUUUGGUCAGUCUUGAGUAGAAGUGCUCAUGUUAGUCCCCUAAAAUCUGGGUCUGUGUUACUCACAAAGUUGUCGACCUGUUGGGUUGUUAGGAUCACAGUAAAAGCCUGUGCCGGCACACGGUCCAUCCUGCAGGGUUGGCAGUCGGCCUUGUGUUCCCACGGGGCUCAGCUCAGGCUCCAGAUUCUGCAGUGGGCGGGGGGACGAGGUGACUGACCAGCAGGCAUUUCGGCCUUUCCCAGUUCAGCUGGAGGCAGUUGAGCACAGUACACAUUUCAUUAUCUCACCUUUGUGCUUUUUGUAACUGUACGGACUAACUGAAAAGAGCUGUUUUGCGUUAACCCUCAUCAGAACAAUCCCUACCCCAUUCUGUUCAGUUUAACGUUUGAGGUCCCACUAACUGCGUUUGGCACGGUUUUACUCUUCCCUGAGCAGCAAGUCCCAUGUCAUCAAAAUAAUAUUUUAAAUAUAUGAAUAUAUAUUUUCUUGGAGUCACACCUUUUGUUUCUGAAUGGUCUGCAGUGAAAAUUUGUUGAAUCUUUGUUCACCUCAGCACCGUGUCUGGCCCCCACGCCUGUCAUUGGAUAACCUCUAUGAAUGUCUUGAAGUGCUCAUGUUCCCAUGAACUUCUAGGGAGCCUGAUUCAGUGGAAAAGAAAGACUUCCGGGCUCACCUAUGAAAGCUACGUCUCGGCUCCAACAGGUUCGACUGUCAACUAAAGUAUCCAAGGCAAAUGGACCCUUCACCACUUUCUUCACAACAGAAUAUGGGCUCAGAUAUUCUGAACCAAUCACAUUUUUGGCAACACCAUCAAAGCUCAACCUAAAAUUGUCUUGGGAGAGCUGAAAUAAGGGCAAAACCCUGGAGAACUAUUAUGAAAGCACUGACGGUCAAGGGGAUACAUUUUAAUACCCCCAGCAAACCUUCCUCUUGGGUUAGUUCUGAGCCAAAUGAAUCACGGCUGUAUUGGAUUUCCAGCUGAAUCGAUUUCCCCAUGUGAGCAUGGCAGUCCUCUGAGAGACAUCAACCAACAGGAAGGAUUCCAUGAAUGAGGGCCAAGGUAGCUCUUCACCCUGCUGGCCAAUGAGGGGUUCCCUAAGGUAAGAGCACAUCCUGAACAAGAUCUGGAAAAAUCUAUAGUCCCUAAUAUUUGGUCAUCUUGCCCCUGACACAAGAUGAGAUUCCGUCUGGCAAAGUCAACCUUGGAAUUUCCAUUUGUAAAAUAUUGGUGAUCAUAAAUCUUCACCUCCCUCCUGAAAGGUGAGUUAUUUUAAAUAUAUUGAAGUAUAUUUGAUUUACAGUGU